rnacentral:lncRNA from 1 species
GUGUAUUCAAAUCAGCAAUCUAUAAUAUAUUGAUAUAGGAAGAUGUGGUAUGAGUGCCAAUGAGACAACUCUCCAUCCAAAUAACAAUUUAUAAAAGUAAACCAUUUUAGGUCAAGGUGCAGCCUUCAAUUUUGGUAAUAAUGAACGCAAGCAUACUCAGAAGUAUUACUGUUUUACAAUAUCUGAUGAAACAGAAACGGUGGCCUCUUAUUUGUUAAUGUCAUUCGUUAUUCUCUCUUUUUACAAAAAAAAAUCAUACAGCAUUUCGAACAGCAGUGCAGAAAAUCGCGCUCUUAUUCAAUCACAAAUGAAAAUUCAUGUACAAUAAAAACAAUUUAAACAUCCUUGCAUGAUGGUAUUGUAUUUUAGGUAUUAUACAAUAGACUAUUGGUAUAUUUUGUACCAAAUACAGGUUCAAGUUGAGGCGUGAUUUGUAUUUCUAUUUCUAAAAACUACGGCCUAAUACAUAUAUCUUUGAUGGCAUUAACACAUAUCUUAUUCCUGUUUCAGUCAACAACAUUAAAUGGAGUGACGAUGACCACUGAACUUGAGAAACAGUAACCAUGGUAGCUGUGAUAAAACACUCUUGUAUCAAAGCUGUUGAAAAAAA